AGAAACGAGAUCAGCUCAUGGAAACACUGGGGAAAUAUUUUCAGAAACGUAGGGCACGUUUUACUUGAAAAGUGUUCAGAACACUUGGCCUACUCACAGGCCCUGAACCUCCCCUCACUGCUACUGUGGGGGUUUAUCCUGGCUCGGGCGAUCAACAGAGUUAACCAGAUCAGAAUACUUUUCUCUCCUGCCAUUUCAUUCCGUGAACAUAAUCCAUAGAGUUGUAACAUCCAGUGAAGAAAACUGCAAUGAUUUGUAAAGUUUUGAAUCUUCAACCUUGAUGGAUUGGAGCUGCUGAGAGCUUUCUCAAUUUAAGCUGUGGCAAUUUUAUACUAGUCUCCAAAGUGUUUUUUCAGAAGCCUUUUGUCUUCUGCCUAUUGUCUGUCAGCCUCCAUAUGUUGACAACUGCGGACUAGAUCUCUUGGUUGUACAACAGUGAAUUGCUCUAAAAAGUACAGCCUGUCUUUGCUGUUCUCACUCCUGCCUUCAAUAGCAUGUUUAAAGGCAAUUACAAAUAACCUGUAGUGUAGUUGGUCACCCUAUGAGGUGGUAAUGAGGACAACUUUUUUUGCAUUACCAACAUUUUAGCAAUUCAUUUUGGAGAAGCAUAAUGUUGACAAUACUGUCCAUGUUUUCAGUUCCACCAUGUAUGUCUGGGUUGAUAGGCCUUUCUCCCCCAGUUGGAAGUUGCAGAGGACUAUAUUUCGGUCUUAAAACAGGCUCUGCCCAUGUGUUAGUUGACCUAAGAUGAACAGAGUGGUAUGUUGUGGCAGCACUUUGUUGUAAUAUACUCCUUUGACCCUGUCCCUGUGCAGUACGAGCAGAUAUCAUGAACAAUGGAGAUCCCUGUUCAGCCAUGGUGUGUGGUUGUGUGCUAUGGAUUCCUUGGACAGUCUGAGUGGUGGUUGGGAAAUUUUUGCUUUGUUUAAUCUUCCACACGGUAUCCUCAGGCCUUCCCAUUGCAUUCAGGUAAUCGUCAUUCUAUCACUUAAUAUUAUUUGUGGCUUUAUACUUAUUGAAUACAUUCAACUUAGUACUGUUAGCCAACAUUUCAGUUUCAAGCACCAAUUCCUCAGCUUGUCAAUGCUUGUCAUCUUUUCAAAGUCUCAACUUUGAGCAGUAAUGUUGCCUUUUCAUCCUCCAUCUUGAGCCUGGAAGAACAUGUGGUGCAUUGCCCUGAGUGACUUCUGUGUUGUGAUGCGUUUCCAUGUUUUGAUGAGGCAUUGGAGAUUUGUUUUUCUUUUCAAUAUUUUUAAUUUAACC